AGAAAUAAAGCUCUUGUGACUCGCAGAGCAACUCGACGUCACCAGCGAGAUCUGAGGGGAAUGUUACUUUCUUUUCGUGUUUAUAGUCUGUUUUGAAUUGAGUGUACAAUAUUAUCAUUGUAAAAGUUUGUGUUUUAUGUCCUCAUGACUGUAUAUUGUAUAAACGAUGAAAAGAGGGAGAAAUAGACUGCGGGGAAGUGAAUCAAGAGCGACUGUGAAGAGAAAUGAAGAACAUUUGUCGUGGAAGAAACAGAAGCUUGUGCAUAUCCAUCAGGCUCUAAACAGCGACCCUGUGAACAUCGAGACCCUGCGGCAGGCAGCGAUAAGUGAAGGAGGUUUGCUGACGGAUGACAUGAGGAGAAAAGUUUGGCCCAAACUCCUCAAUGUCAAUGUCUACAAUCUUCCUGCCAAACCCUCCAAAGAUGUCCGUGAGAACCACAAAGACUACAGACAGGUGGUGCUUGAUGUCAGGAGAUCAAUGAGGCGCUUCCCUAAGGGCAUGCGUGUGGAUGAGCGGGAGGUUCUUCAGGAACAGCUGAUUGACAUCAUUCUGGAUGUUUUGAGGAGAAACCCUCAGCUGCACUAUUAUCAGGGAUAUCAUGACUUCGUUGUGACCUUUCUGCUGGUGGUGGGAGAGAGAAUGACCAUUGCGCUCAUGGAGAAACUGUCCAAUCAUCAUCUCAGGGAUUUCAUGGACCCCACUAUGGACAGCACAAAACACAUAUUGAACUACCUGAUGCCCAUUCUGGAGCGUGUGGACCCUGUGCUACAUGACUUCAUGAUCAGGGCCGAGGUGGGCACUAUCUUUGCCCUGAGCUGGCUGAUCACAUGGUACGGCUACGUUCUGUCAGAUUUCCGGCACAUUCUCCGGCUCUAUGAUUUCUUCCUGGCCUCUCACCCGCUCAUGGCCGUUUACUUUGCUGCUGUGAUUGUGUUGUACAGAGCUGAGGAGGUGAAGAACUGUGAUUGUGAUAUGCCCAGCGUUCAUCAGCUGCUGUCACGGAUGCCUCAGGAUCUGCCAUACGAGGAUCUGAUUGGUCGAGCUCAGAGUCUGUUCAUGAGCUGCCCGCCUUCUCUGCUGGCUCAAUCUGCAGCUUUGCAGUCACACAACAUCGUUGCCAUCAAGACCUUUAAGGACUUCCAGAGAUCAACACUGAUGCAGCGUCCAGACUCAGUCCUGCGUGAGCAGCUCCAGAAACGGCAUGAAAACCAGUUAGCCCUUCCCAUGAACACCCAACCAACAACCACUAAUCAGUUGGUUAAAAUGGCAGUGUGGGGUCUUUCUGCAACACUGGGGGCGACCGCGCUGGCCGUGGUACAGACGGCUUUAAACUGGGCUCCUGAGUUUCUAUCGCAGCUCUUCUGAUGACGUGUCUUCAUCGAGUCAAGCGGGUUGCGCUGCAUUCAAAAAUAUGUGUAACCCAAGCGAGUGAAUCUCUUAUUUUUUCUGUGGAGUUAAGAUUGGAGAGGUGGGGUUUUUGUAAUGACAAGCAUUUCUGGAUGACAUUCAGAGAAACUGAACGUUCGCAGCAUCAGCAGCACAACACUCAAAUUAUUAACAGCGUAUUUCUCCUGAGCGGCGUCGAAGGAAAAGCUCAUUAACAGGAGAAACCAGGUGAUGGAUGAAGACCACAGAGAAUACACAACUGAACACUUCACACCAGAAGACCACUAUACGACAGUCAAUCUGAGACAGACUUGAGGAGCUGAUGUGAGAACAGAAUUUAACCUGAUGCCACAGCUGGCUGACUCUAUUUGUGCCUUGGGUGUUGAUGAGCGGCUGUUAGCACACCAAAAUCACCCCUGCCAAAAAAACAGGAAGGAAUAAUGAGCAGUCUUCACACCGGUAACUUUAAUGUGUUUUUAAUGUGAUUCAGUCAGUCUUUCAAUGCUUUCCAGUGACUCAAACUCUCUUGUAUUUGGGAAGUUAAGGUGUUUCUGAGUGGAAAUCGGCCAGGACGUCUCUGUUAAUGGGAAUUUAAUUUGAGCUUUAGCGCCAUUUGUCACAUUUGUGAUAAUCCUUCAGACGGAUGACGCUUUCCUGCCGGUCACCAACAACUAAAUCACAAAUAUGAAAAUACAAAUUACCUCAAAUUGUAUUGAUUUGUUUCUGAGAUCUAAUGAAAAUCAAAGGAAACCGUUUCAAUAAAAGCAAACGCGCUGAUAGUCAUUAAACAAUAAUAAGGAUCAUUUUAUUACCUAAGGAUCAGAAGUGACCUAAUGUUCAUUUUAAUAUGAGUUCCUCCUCAUCACCUCAGGCUUUUUAAAUGAUCAAUGAUGGUUUAAACUGAAAUUAGGAUGUUCACUUGGUUUUGAAACAGAGAUGAUGUGUUUUUAUAUUUUAAGAUGAUAUCUGCAGGUGUGCGUGUGUAUGUCGGCUUUAUUAAACAUUGCUGUCAGAUAAAAUAUAAGAGCUAUGACAAUAGAUAAAAAAAUCUGGAGGGCUACGUUUUGGAUAUAUUUGGAUAUACCUUUACUACAAAAAAAAAAAACACUUUAAAAAGUUAACAUACAAGCUAACAUUAGUUAACAUUAGCCAAUGUAAUAUAAAAAAAUAUGUCGUAAAUAAAUAUUAAAAUUGAGGUUAAUAAUAGAAUGUGCUUUGGCGGGUAAUUCACAGACUCCGUGCGGGCAACCUGGUGCCCGUGGGCACCAUGUUGGAGACCACUGAUCUAUACAAUAAUGUUGUGUGUUACUGGUGUGAGGGAGACGCUUGACAGAAAACUGUUUUGGGUCAAGGUUUAGUUAGCAGCUAUACACCGGUUGAGCUCUGCACAUGCAAAACGUUUUAAAAGUGUUUGUUAGACUGAGUUUCAGUAUACAUGCAAAUGUAAAUGUAUUUAAUAUUUAAAAAACGAAAGUGAUGAUCUUUAUAAUGUCCAUUGAGUAAAUAUGACG